CCUACGGGAGGCAGCAGUGAGGAAUAUUGGUCAAUGGGCGCAAGCCUGAACCAGCCAUGCCGCGUGCAGGAAGAAGGCCUAUGGAUUGUAAACUGCUUUUAUUCGGGAAUAGGUACCGAAUGAAUAAGCACCGGCUAACUCCGUGCCAGCAGCCGCGGUAAUACGGAGGGUGCAAGCGUUAUCCGGAAUCAUUGGGUUUAAAGGGUCCGCAGGCGGGAAAAUAAGUCAGUGGUGAAAUCUCACAGCUCAACUGUGAAACUGCCAUUGAUACUGUUUUUCUUGAAUUCGAUCGAAGUGGGCGGAAUAUGACAUGUAGCGGUGAAAUGCUUAGAUAUGUCAUAGAACACCGAUAGCGAAGGCAGCUCACUAGGUCUGAUUGACGCUCAGGGACGAAAGCGUGGGGAGCAAACAGGAUUAGAUACCCUAGUAGUC
rnacentral:rRNA from 1 species